rnacentral:rRNA from 1 species
UACAGAGGGGGCAAGCGUUGUUCGGAAUUACUGGGCGUAAAGGGCGCGUAGGCGGCCUGUUAAGUCGAACGUGAAAUCCCCGGGCUCAACCCGGGAACUGCGUCCGAUACUGGCAGGCUUGAAUCCGGGAGAGGGAUGCGGAAUUCCAGGUGUAGCGGUGAAAUGCGUAGAUAUUGGGAAGAACACCGGUGGCGAAGGCGGCCAUCUGGACCGGAACUGACGCUGAGGCACGAAAGCGUGGGGAGCAAACAGG